UACGUAGGCAGCAAGCGUUGUUCGGAGUUACUGGGCGUAAAGGGUGUGUAGGCGGUUCUUUAAGUUUGGUGUGAAAUCUCCCGGCUCAACUGGGAGGGUGCGCCGAAUACUGAGAGGCUAGAGUGCGGGAGAGGAAAGUGGAAUUCCUGGUGUAGCGGUGAAAUGCGUAGAUAUCAGGAGGAACACCGGUGGUGUAAACGGCUUUCUGGACCGUAACUGACGCUGAGGCACGAAAGCGUGGGUAGCAAACAGG
rnacentral:rRNA from 1 species